GGGAGUGAAAUAGAACCUGAAACCCUGCACUUACAAGCUGUGGAAGCACAUUUCUUGUGUGACCGCGUACUUUUUGUAGAACGGGCCAACGAGUUACGUUAAGUAGCAAGGUUAAGCACUUAAGGUGCGGAGCCGUAGCGAAAGCGAGUUUUAACUGAGCGUUCAGUUACUUGACGUAGACCCGAAACCGGGCGACCUACCCAUGAGCAGGAUGAAGCGAAAGUAAAAUUUCGUGGAGGUCCGAACCCACGAGCGUUGAAAAGCUCGGGGAUGACUUGUGGGUAGCGGUGAAAUUCCAAUCGAGCCCGGAGAUAGCUGGUUCUCCCCGAAAUAGCUUUAGGGCUAGCCUCAAGGUGAGAGAUACGGAGGUAGAGCACUGAAUGUCCUAGGGGGUAUUGCACCUACCGAAGACUAUCAAACUCCGAAUGCCGUCAUCUUAUACUUGGGAGUCAGACUGUGGGUGAUAAGAUUCAUAGUCGAAAGGGCAACAGCCCAGAUCGUCAGCUAAGGUCCCUAAAUGUAAGUUAAGUGGUAAAGGAUGUGGGAUUGCACAGACAACCAGGAUGUUGGCUUAGAAGCAGCCACUCAUUCAAAGAGUGCGUAAUAGCUCACUGGUCGAGUGAUCCUGCGCCGAAGAUUUCCGGGGCUAAAACUUACUACCGAAGCUACGGCAUCAGUAAUGAUGGGUAGGGGAGCUUCCCAUACGGGU
rnacentral:rRNA from 1 species